rnacentral:rRNA from 2 species
UGCAGUCGAGCGGUAACAGGUCCAGCUUGCUGGAUGCUGACGAGCGGCGGACGGGUGAGUAAUGCAUAGGAAUCUACCCGGUAGUGGGGGAUAACGUGGGGAAACCCACGCUAAUACCGCAUACGUCCUACGGGAGAAAGCGGAGGAUCUUCGGACUUCGCGCUAUCGGAUGAGCCUAUGUCGGAUUAGUUAGUUGGUGAGGUAACGGCUCACCAAGACCGCGAUCCGUAGCUGGUCUGAGAGGAUGAUCAGCCACAUCGGGACUGAGACACGGCCCGAACUCCUACGGGAGGCAGCAGUGGGGAAUAUUGGACAAUGGGCGCAAGCCUGAUCCAGCCAUGCCGCGUGUGUGAAGAAGGCUUUCGGGUUGUAAAGCACUUUCAGCGAGGAAGAACGCCUGAUGGUUAAUACCCGUCAGGAAAGACAUCACUCGCAGAAGAAGCACCGGCUAACUCCGUGCCAGCAGCCGCGGUAAUACGGAGGGUGCAAGCGUUAAUCGGAAUUACUGGGCGUAAAGCGCGCGUAGGUGGCAUGACAAGCCGGUUGUGAAAGCCCCGGGCUCAACCUGGGAACGGCAUCCGGAACUGUCACGCUAGAGUGCAGGAGAGGAAGGUGGAAUUCCCGGUGUAGCGGUGAAAUGCGUAGAGAUCGGGAGGAAUACCAGUGGCGAAGGCGGCCUUCUGGACUGACACUGACACUGAGGUGCGAAAGCGUGGGUAGCAAACAGGAUUAGAUACCCUGGUAGUCCACGCCGUAAACGAUGUCGACCAGCCGUUGGGUGCCUUGUGCACUUUGUGGCGAAGUUAACGCGAUAAGUCGACCGCCUGGGGAGUACGGCCGCAAGGUU